ensembl:lncRNA
UUUAUUUAUUUAUUUCAUUCCGCAUUUAGAUUUAGAUAAUGCCUACUAUAUCCACCUCCAAUGUUUUUUUUGUUGGCAAUUCAUAAUCAUGUAAACAAAAUAGCCUCCUCUGCUUUUCUUUCAGAAUUUGAGUCAUGGCACCAUAAAGAGAAAAAACUUUCACUGUAGCGAUUCACAUACAGAUAGCACGAGCAGCCACAGUGCUGUAUGACUUGACCAUGCUCAUGAGAACUAAUCAGUGAUAUGAUGCCACAAACUGAACAUCCACACCACUUUAAUAUUAAUACAGGUAAGCAUGAAAGGAUAGAACAGCAUGCAUUAGUGUUCAUGUGAAACGAUACGUUCUACUACCCAGAUCUGCCCAUCCAUACUGCCUACUCCAACAUACACAUCUCUCGAAACCAGACUGCAAUUUGAACUGCAUCAUUUUUGUGAAUAAUACAUUAAAUGAUUUAGCACAUAUGGCAAUAAGACAGUUUAUACUGAACGACUGGUAACAAGAAGCCUCUAAAGGUGCUUUCACAUACGCAGCGUUUAGCCCAUUUAAAUCGAACCCUGUUGUGUCUUCCCCCUUGGUGUGGUUCGUUUGUGCAGGUGAGAACAAGGCAAUCACAUUUGGGUGCAGACCAAAACAACCGGAUUGCGGCCUUCUGAACAAGGUCUGGUUCCAAGCGAACUCUUGCGAUUCAAAAGCAAUUCAACCUUGAAUCAGUCCACUGCAGGACAAAUGCUACGCAAAUAAAGUAGAAAUACUUGUCAGAUGUGAUGCACAAAAUGCUUUAAACUAGUUAUUUAUAUAAUUAUCUAGUAAUUUACUGAGCACCGGGUGAUUUUUGUGAAUUCGAAAAUACUUAAAGCUUUUUUUUGCGUUUUUUCCAUUGACGUUUUUCUGACCAAUGAAUGAAUGAGUUUUACGAGUACGUUUUCAGCCUUCUGCCAAGAUUUUUUUUUUUUUUGCUUUUUCAUUGUUUAAUUAUGUGCAAUGUGAAGAUAAACCAAACCAGGUAGCAAACAAACCAAAAGUAUCAGUUAUUUCGCCCUGUCUACGACUUAGCAGAUGGACUAAUAGAUAUGAAAGAAUCCUUAUACUUAACCCCAGGGCAGGCUUAUUUGAUCAAUAAACAACUACACAAACGUUUGGUGGUUUUAAGUUUGGAUUAGGCCUGGCAUGGGGAAUAUACUGUUUUGAGAUACUGAAAUAAGUUGGGAAGUACCUACAUGGCCAUUCUAGGAUAAAGUGCUACCUUCAUGGGGAGUGCACAGUAAAGUGCAGCCAGUGAGGGGAAUGGGAUAGUGUGGGAAAGAAUGCGGUGGUUGAGUUCCUGCUGGAGUGUAAAACAUCUCCAGGAGACGUAAGGAGUGUGUGAUUAGUGACCGAGUUAUGCAGGCACUGGCAGCUGUGGUUCAUUCGUGGUUGAAAUUAGAGUGGUGUUCUGAGGAAUCUAAGCAACCACAAAAUGUUAUGAACAGAACUCAAAGAGACAUCUAUAUCCAAGUCUAGGUAGGGAAAAAACGAAUUACCAUUACACAAAAUUAACUGACAAAUUUCUGUCUUUCUAGGAUACAAUCAUCCACUACCUCUGACAAUCCAGAAAUAAAAAUGUGGUAAUUUUGUACAGUUAAUCCUUGUGGGGGGGGGGGGGCACGCAACAGUUUUACAACCCUAAUAUUGGUUCGAACCCUAAUAUCUGUACAUAGUGUCUCACUAUUACAGUAACUAUAGAAAACUGUUAACACAAAUCACUGGUUAGGAGUUUAAUUUAGAAAAUUGGCAAAACUGCCCUAGUUUCUAGAGCUUCUUUGCCAGUACAGCAGCUUGUCAUUUACUAACUAUUUAAAAUGUUAUGUCAUUUACUUAACUUAAAUGUAGUCUUAAAAAAAUAUUAAUUUGUGUUCCUUUUUUUUGGCAACAGUGUAUUUUAUACAGUUUACUAUGUCAAGUACACUCAAAUGUUAACACCAUCUGACCGAUUUUAGUCAUACAAAAAAUAUAUUUGAGAUAUAUUAUAUAUAUUAAUAUUAAUAUUAAUAUAUAUAUAUUAAUAU